rnacentral:tRNA from 2 species
GGGCGUAUAGCUCAGUUGGCUAGAGCAUCUCGUUUACACCGAGAGGGUCCGCGGUUCGAGUCCGUGUACGCCCACCA